AAUUAAGGGAAGCUGCGAGGUAGGCAAUUUCGCUUCAACUCUCAGGCAUUUUCCACGAAUCUAUCUCCUCUGCCCAGUCUUCAUCUACUAGUCCUUGUGCGAUCAGUGGGAGGUGUCUGUCGCGUACGAUAUCAGUACAAAUGACAUAAUGGAGAGAAAUAUGGAGAUGAAUUGCGCAGUGUGAGUGCAAUUAAUAGCUAAAAGCCAAGUUCACAGAGGGACAACGAAGUUGGUGUUUCGAGAUAAACGUUGGGGCUCUGGAAAUUGAAUCAAUCGGUGGAUAUUCUAUUCAUUCAAUUAUCGUCAUAUUUGUACUAACUUUCGGUCUGUAAAAUCUUCAAUCGCCAUUCUUCAAACGAGAUAUUACGAGGAGUGAGCUUUGAUGCACUGCGAGCUUCAUUGGAUCCGAGUCACCGAGGAUAAUUUAAUUCUCUCCUUGGUAAAUUUCCAUUGAUCUUAUGAAGACACAAAAGCUCACGAAAAAUAACCGAUAUGAAAUUCGCCUGUUGGUGUGUAACCAGUGCAGCAUGAAGGGGACACCUUACCAGAGGUGAAAUAUACGAGUGAAGUGAAAUUGAAUAGAGCUUCACAGAGAUGUACUCUCAAUUCACGCUCUAUCUAUACUUGCUUGGUUUUUCAUUGAAAUAUGACACGUUUAACGGUCAGAGUUCACCGAACCGCACAAACCCGGUCUUUUCGUCAUUCGGCCAUUUCACUUGGUCAAAAAUUUCCAAACGUGGAAACUAGAUAUAUUGCUCUAGAUUUUCCCUCGGAUUGAGAACAAUUGCUUCACACAUGAAAAAUUUUUG